CAGCAGCCACGGUAAUACGUAGGGUGCAAGCGUUAAUCGGAAUUACUGGGCGUAAAGCGUGCGCAGGCGGUUUGUUAAGACAGAUGUGAAAUCCCCGGGCUCAACCUGGGAACUGCAUUUGUGACUGGCAAGCUAGAGUGUGGCAGAGGGGGGUGGAAUUCCGCGUGUAGCAGUGAAAUGCGUAGAUAUGCGGAGGAACACCGAUGGCGAAGGCAGCCCCCUGGGCCAACACUGACGCUCAUGCACGAAAGCGUGGGGAGCAAACAGGAUUAGAUACCCGCGUAGUCCCUGUCUCUUAUAC
rnacentral:rRNA from 1 species